GGGAAGUUGGUAAAAAGCGGAGGAGAAGAACCAACAGGGAUUGCCUCAGUAACGGCGAGUGAAGCGGCAACAGCUCAAAUUUGAAAUCUGACUUCGGUCCGAGUUGUAAUUUGCAGAGGAAGUCUCGGGUGCGAUACCGGUCUAAGUUCCUUGGAACAGGACGUCAUAGAGGGUGAGAAUCCCGUAUGCGACUGGUGGUCAACCCCAUGUGAGGCCCCUUCGACGAGUCGAGUUGUUUGGGAAUGCAGCUCAAAAUGGGUGGUAAAUUUCAUCUAAAGCUAAAUACCGGCCAGAGACCGAUAGCGCACAAGUAGAGUGAUCGAAAGAUGAAAAGCACUUUGGAAAGAGAGUUAAAAAGUACGUGAAAUUGUUGAAAGGGAAGCGCUUGCAACCAGACUUGCCCGCGGGUGAUCCACCGUCCUUUGGGACGGUCUAUUCUCCCGUGAUCAGGCCAACAUCGGUUUUGGCGGCUGGAUACAGGCCCCGGGAAUGUGGCUCUCUUCGGGGAGUGUUAUAGCCCGGGGUGCAAUGCGGCCAGCUGGGACCGAGGACCGCGCUUCGGCUAGGAUGUUGGCGUAAUGGUUGUCAGCGACCCGUCUUGAAACACGGACCAAGGAGUCUAACAUCUAUGCGAGUGUUUGGGUGUCAAACCCAUACGCGAAAUGAAAGUGAACGGAGGUGGGAACCCCCCGGGGCGCACCAUCGACCGAUCCUGAUGUCUUCGGAUGGAUUUGAGUAUGAGCAUAGCUGUUGGGACCCGAAAGAUGGUGAACUAUGCCUGAAUAGGGUGAAGCCAGAGGAAACUCUGGUGGAGGCUCGCAGCGGUUCUGACGUGCAAAUCGAUCGUCAAAUUUGGGUAUAGGGGCGAAAGACGUAAGUGACACCUUUGAUGUUGUUGAACGAGAAAUUUAGCUAACAUGUGAAAAUAGUAAUCGAACCAUCUAGCCCC
rnacentral:rRNA from 1 species